rnacentral:rRNA from 1 species
GAUGAACGCUGGCGGCGUGCUUAAGACAUGCAAAUCGAACGGAGUGUGUAGCAAUACUCACUAAGUGGCGAAUGGGUGAGUAACACGUAGGUGACCUGCCCUGAAGCGCGGAAUAACAGUCCGAAAGGAUUGCUAAUACCGCAUGUGGUCCCGGGCGUUAGAGAACCGGGUCUAAAGCAGUAAUGCGCUUCAGGAGGGGCCUGCGGUCCAUCAGCUAGUUGGUAGGGAAUGGCCUACCAAGGCAACGACGGAUAGGGGACC